rnacentral:rRNA from 1 species
AUUGAACGCUGGCGGCAUGCCUUACACAUGCAAGUCGAACGGUAACAGGUCUUCGGAUGCUGACGAGUGGCGAACGGGUGAGUAAUACAUCGGAACGUGCCUAGUAGUGGGGGAUAACUACUCGAAAGAGUGGCUAAUACCGCAUGAGAUCUACGGAUGAAAGCAGGGGAUCGCAAGACCUUGUGCUACUAGAGCGGCCGAUGGCAGAUUAGGUAGUUGGUGGGGUAAAAGCUUACCAAGCCGACGAUCUGUAGCUGGUCUGAGAGGACGAUCAGCCUCACUGGGACGGAGACACGGCCCAGACUCCUACGGGAGGCAGCAGGGGGGAAUUGUGGACAAUGGGCGCAAGCCUGAUCCAGCAAUGCCGCGUGCAGGAUGAAGGCCUUCGGGUUGUAAACUGCUUUUGUACGGAACGAAAAGCCCCGGGUUAAUACCCUGGGGUCAUGACGGUACCGUAAGAAUAAGCACCGGCUAACUACGUGCCAGCCGCCGCAGUAA